GCCGGGACCAAGGCGUCAGCUAGCAUGGAGCUCGGGUUUAAACCCGGCUCAUGUGCCGCUGCUAUCGAUGCCAUUUCUAUGCCAGCCUUGCAGAGAUGAAUUUGAAGCUGUUGUACUGACGGUCCCAGGUCCCCAAUGUAUAGGACUCACAGCAGGAUGCAUACCUGGAAAGAUGGGUGUGGCCAAUGUCUGUUUGUUUCACAGCAUUUACUCCUACCUGCACAAAAGCAUUUUAAUAAAUAAGCAUGUCUUACUUUUUAA